GACAGAGGGUGCAAACGUUGUUCGGAAUUACUGGGCGUAAAGCGCGUGUAGGCUGCUCUGCAAGUCGGAUGUGAAAGCCCUGGGCUCAACCUAGGAAGUGCACUCGAAACUGCAGAGCUGGAGUCCUGGAGAGGAAGGCGGAAUUCUCGGUGUAGAGGUGAAAUGCGCAGAUAUCGUAAGGAAGACCGGUGGCGAAGGCGGGUCUC
rnacentral:rRNA from 1 species